rnacentral:rRNA from 1 species
AUUGAACGCUGGCGGUAGGCCUAACACAUGCAAGUCGAACGCGAAAGUCCUUCGGGAUGAGUAGAGUGGCGGACGGGUGAGUAACGCGUAGGAAUCUAUCCUGUAGUGGGGGAUAACGUUUCGAAAGGAACGCUAAUACCGCAUACGCCCCACGGGGGAAAGCGGGGGAUCCUCGGACCUCGUGCUAUAGGAGGAGCCUGCGUCGGAUUAGCUAGUUGGUGAGGUAAAGGCUCAUCAAGGCGACGAUCCGUAGCUGGUCUGAGAGGAUGAUCAGCCACACCGGAACUGAGACACGGUCCGGACUCCUACGGGAGGCAGCAGUGGGGAAUAUCGCGCAAUGGGCGAAAGCCUGACGCAGCCAUACCGCGUGUGUGAAGAAGGCCUUCGGGUUGUAAAGCACUUUCAGUGGGGAGGAAAAGCUGGUGGCCAAUAUCCAUCGGCCGUGACGCUACCCACAGAAGAAGCACCGGCUAAUUCCGUGCCAGCCGCCGCCGUAAGAC